UGUAGGACCUGGCAACCAAAAGUAAUUCUUCUCGCCCUCUCCUUCUCCAUCGCCACCCUUUUCACCGCCUCUUUCAAGCCACGCGUCCGUAGAAAACCUCCCACUUUUGUCUCAAGAAUUUACUACUCCUGCAACUUCCGUCUCCAUUUUCAUUGGACCGUCCGCAUCCUGAUCAAAUGGAUCCUACGAGCUCAUGCCUUCAAGACCUGUAAGCAAUUGAUCUUCCUAACCUUUUCCCAUCUCAUAUAAUGUUUCGAGUUUUAAUGGUCACUGAUAUUAUAUGUAGUCAUUCACCUAAUUAAUA
rnacentral:misc_RNA from 1 species